rnacentral:snRNA from 1 species
GUACUCACUUCAGUAGUACAUAUUCGAAAACUGGAACAAUGCAAAUAUUGUGAAUCUGGCCCCUGCCCAAGGGUAACAUUAACAUUUGUGAAGUGAUCCAUGUUAUG